AUUUUUGAGUACUCAUUUAAUGUAGUAAACACAGCUUGAAAAGAAAAGCUGUCAAAUAAUUUCCUUAGAAAUUGUUUUACAGCCCACCCGUGUAUUACAAGAAAUCUCAAGUCAAACACUGGAAGAGAUGUCAGAAGAUUCAGAAAAGGAAGACUAUUCAGACAGAACAAUCAGUGAUGAAGAUGAAUCGCUGACUCUUUUGGUGAUCCCUUCUUCCCCCGGACUACACAGAUACUAUUAGAAUAUCAGCUAGGGAGAUGGGUGCCACGUCUUCGUGAACCACGGGAUUUAUAUGGUGUCUCUUCUUCUGGUCCACUGAGCCCAACACGGUGGCCAUACCAUUGUGAAGUCAUCGAUGAAAAAGUCCAGCAUAUUGCCUCCUCAUGACUAUCUGUGGCAGAGGGAAUGGAUAAGGAGCAAUAAAGGAAAAUCCCUAUGCACCUACUGUGACUUCUGCCUGAUUUCUCUCCGGUAGCCGUGAUGAGAGAAUGAGAGCAGAAGAGACCCAAAAGGAAGAGCAAAGCAAGAUCCCAUCG
rnacentral:lncRNA from 1 species